rnacentral:tRNA from 1 species
GGGUGAUUAGCUCAGUUGGUUAGAGCGUUACGUUGACAUCGUAAAGGUCGAUGGUUCGAGUCCAUUAUCACCCACCA